rnacentral:tRNA from 1 species
UUAAUUGAAACCAAAAUAGAGGUGUAUCACUGUUAAUGAUACCAGUGAAAUUAAUUUCCAAUUAAA